rnacentral:rRNA from 1 species
CCUACGGGUGGCAGCAGUGAGGAAUAUUUGUCAAUGGGCGAGAGCCUGAACCAGCCAAGUCGCGUGAGGGAAGACUGUCCUACGGAUUGUAAACCUCUUUUAUCAGGGAACAAGGAGCGCCACGUAUAGUGCGUCGCGAGUACCUUAUGAAUAAGCAUCGGCUAACUCCGUGCCAGCAGCCGCGGUAAUACGGAGGAUGCGAGCGUUAUCCGGAUUUGUUGGGUUUAAGGGGUGCGAAGGCGGGAGCGGAAAGUCGUCGGGAAAAUUUGCGGGCUAAACCUCGCCGUGCCGUGGAAACUGGUCUUAUAGAGUGGAGGAGAGGUAUGCGGAAUGCGUGGUGUAGCGGUGAAAUGCAUAGAUAUCACGAAGAACUCCGAUUGCGAAGGCAGCAUACCGGAGCCCAACUGACGCUCAUGCACGAAAGCGUGGGUAUCGAACAGGAUUAGAUACCCUAGUAGUC